rnacentral:rRNA from 1 species
GACGAACGCUGGCGGCGUGCUUAACACAUGCAAGUCGAACGGAAAGGCCCUGCUUUUGUGCGGUGCUCGAGUGGCGAACGGGUGAGUAACACGAGAGUAACCUGCUCUUGACUUUGGGAUAACUUCAGGAAACUGGGGUUACUAUCGGAUAGGAGCUCCUGCUGCAUGGUGGGGGUUGGAAAGUUUGGGCGGGUGGGGAUGGACGAGCGGAUUAUGAGCUUGUUGGUGGGGGAGUGGAUUACCAAGGAUUUGACGGGUAGCCGGCCUGAGAGGGUGACCGGCCACCAGAGUACUGAGAUACGGCCCAGACUGCUACGGGAGGCAGCAGUGGGGAAUAUUGCACAACGAGCGGAAGCCUGUUGCAGCAACGCCGGGUUCGGGAUGACGGCCUUCGGGUAGAAAACCGCUUUCGCCUGUGACGAAGCGUUAGUGACGGUAAUGGGUAAAGAAGCACCGGCUAACUACGUG